CCGAAAUGGAGUGACUCUUUUACCCCUGGUCUUUGUUGUGAAUUACAAUUUGCCUAUCAAUUUAGUGCGUUGUUAUUCGACUGUGCUUAUCGUCAGGUUGUCGUUUUGCAAUAGAAGGGCGUGGAUCAGCAGAGGAAGGCGAUACAGCUAUUACAUCGUUGGGAUCAUCACGGGGAGAAGGGAAGAGCUUGGUUUCUGUUCGAUUUUGAUAAAUAGUCGGUUGUUCUUUCUGUGGAUUGUGAAAGAUUUCACAUUAUUGUCUGGUAGAUUUCUAGGAUUUUUUGGUUUUGCUGGGGGUUUUUGUUGUCGUUCGCUUUGAAUUGAUAUGGGUUUUCAUGUUUUAGGGUUUUUUUUUGUUGUGGAGUUUGCGAUUUGAGUGAUUGGUUGGAAGAGGUUGAAGGUUCUAUGCAAAGGAGUAUUUCGAUUGUUCUUCUGCCAUUGUUCCUGUAUCUGUUAUUUGGUAUCGGUUUGGUGUUCUAUUCUUAUACAGAUAUUAGGAACUGUGAGCUGUUAAAUUUUCCAAGUAUUUUGAGUUCAGACUGGUGAUUGAGCAAAGGAGAAAAGAACGGCUUUGGAUCUGGGUUUGUGAUUGAAAUUAUGUGCCUGUUAAUUCAGACGUUGAAUCGAUCAGUAUCUCGACCUGACAUGAGCGUCAAAGCGUUCAUCAUUAGCAAGCAAACAAACCCGCGACAUCGCGGGAGGAGUUGCCUAGUUAUUAACAGUUCGUAGAAAGAAAAAAAAAAUAGUAUUAACGCAAUCUAUUUAUUGACCCGAUAUGUAUUCUCAUGCUACAAGCUAGAGAUUUGGGCCCACUAUACUCUUAAAUCUUAAUUGUGCCGGUCCGAGUUACAGACGAUUAUUGGUUGGCCCAAACCAACCCCAACUUCGAACAUUCAAAACAACCCGUACCGUUUGACACCAUGAAAGGAAUGAUUUAUCAAUAUUAACAGAAUUCACUCAUUAUGUGUGGA